rnacentral:miRNA from 2 species
UGACAACUGGUAGCAGAGCAA